rnacentral:misc_RNA from 1 species
CACACUCCAAGCGAAUGCUUGAUGUUGGACGACGCGGCCCCGUCAGGGAGCUGCUCGUCUGGAACGCGUGGGCGCCCGCCGCCGGAUCGCGAACGUAGCAAGACGUCAGUCAAUUUCGUUCUGCUGGUUCCGACGGAGGGCGGCCUCAUACAUUUCUUUACAAGAA